UACGUAGGGGGCAAGCGUUAUCCGGAUUUACUGGGUGUAAAGGGAGCGUAGACAGAAUUGCAAGUCUGAUGUGAAAAUCCGGGGCCCAACCCCGGAACUGCAUUGGAAACUGUAUUUCUAGAGUGUCGGAGAGGCAAGUGGAAUUCCUGGUGUAGCGGUGAAAUGCGUAGAUAUCAGGAGGAACACCAGUGGCGAAGGCGGCUUGCUGGACGAUGACUGACGUUGAGGCUCGAAAGCGUGGGGAGCAAACAGG
rnacentral:rRNA from 1 species